rnacentral:rRNA from 1 species
AUUGAACGCUGGCGGCAUGCCAUACACAUGCAAGUCGAACGGCAGCGGGGGAGAAGCUUGCUUUUCCUGCCGGCGAGUGGCGAACGGGUGAGUAAUACAUCGGAACGUGCCCUGUAGUGGGGGAUAACUAGUCGAAAGAUUAGCUAAUACCGCAUACGACCUGAGGGUGAAAGUGGGGGACCGCAAGGCCUCAUGCUUUAGGAGCGGCCGAUGUCUGAUUAGCUAGUUGGUGGGGUAAAGGCCUACCAAGGCGACGAUCAGUAGCUGGUCUGAGAGGACGAUCAGCCACACUGGGACUGAGACACGGCCCAGACUCCGACGGGAGGCAGCAGUGGGGAAUUUUGGACAAUGGGCGAAAGCCUGAUCCAGCAAUGCCGCGUGUGUGAAGAAGGCCUUCGGGUUGUAAAGCACUUUUGUCCGGAAAGAAAUGGCUCUGGUUAAUACCUGGGGUCGAUGACGGUACCGGAAGAAUAAGGACCGGCUAACUACGUGCCAGCAGCCGCCGUAA